GGAGGGUGCAAGCGUUGCUCGGAAUCACUGGGCGUAAAGCGACCGCAGGCGGUCUGACAAGUCGGAUGUGAAAGCCCUGGGCUCAACUCAGGAACUGCAUUCGAAACUGGCAGACUCGAGUACGGGAGAGGGGGGUGGAAUUCCUGGUGUGGGGUGAAAUUCGUUGAUAUCAGGAGGAACACCGGCGGCGAAGGCGGCCCCCUGGCCCGCAACUGACGCUCAUGGUCGAAAGCGUGGGGAGCAAACAGGAUUAGAUACCCUGGUAGUCCACGCCGUAAACGAUGAUUGCUAGGUGUUGGUGGUAUUCACCCCAUCAGUGCCGAAGUUAACGCAUUAAGCAAUCCGCCUGGGAAGUACGGCCGCAAGGCUA
rnacentral:rRNA from 1 species